rnacentral:rRNA from 1 species
UACGGGGGGGGCAAGCGUUGUUCGGAAUUACUGGGCGUAAAGGGCUCGUAGGCGGCCAACUAAGUCGGACGUGAAAUCCCUCGGCUUAACCGGGGAACUGCGUCCGAUACUGGAUGGCUUGAGUUCGGGAGAGGGAUGCGGAAUUCCAGGUGUAGCGGUGAAAUGCGUAGAUACCUGGAGGAACACCGGUGGCGAAGGCGGCAUCCUGGACCGACACUGACGCUGAGGAGCGAAAGCCAGGGGAGCAAACGGG